CUGCAUAGUUCUCUACAAUUUCCCUGAGCCACAAGGAGAAAAAAAAUGACACAUAUCAGAUACUGAUCAAGAAAGAGAUAAAAUUUCAUUACCCCCAAGAACACCCUUGAGAAGAACUGCAGACACGCCAACCAACACCCCCCGCCCCUUCCCUCUUAAAAACCCCUUUUUUGUUUGCAGACACUACCACUGCUAAAUAAAACCAGUUAAGUGUGGAUUUGAUCAAAGAUUAGAGACUGGAAAUAGACAUAAAAGUAUUAUCAUUGUUGGGUUAGCAACGAUAAACUCUUCUUUUUCAUUACACCAAGAAGAGUCAAACAAAAUGGGACCUUAAAGAAUUCUAAAUUCUUUAUGUUAGACCAUUACCUUGAACAAUCAGUAAUCUCAAUCAUGGUAUACGGUAAAACUUGUUAUUGAAAACAUGGAUCUUCUUCCACCAAAACACACAAAAACAACAAGGCACAUGGCAAGACUGAAAAUAUCCAAGAUGUUUAAUAGCCAUGAAACUAAGCAUGUUUACAUUUUUCUUAGAGCAUUUGGACUUAAAAACAUUUAUAACUUCAAAGUGUUUUAGUAAAUGGUCUUACUUUUAAACUUUUGUUAGCUCCUUAUUUAGGUCAGGGAAUUAAUAACAUCCAACAGGACUUCUCAUCCACUUGCAUUCAGAACUAGACAAAUUGUCACAUUUAAAGGUGAAUCUUUUUCUAGUCAAAAGAUGAUAAAACCAUGAAUACUAGGCUUGUUCCCCUUCACAUAUGAAAACUGCCAACCCCUCUCCAUGCAUUUCUUAUUUACCAAAAAUGACACAAAAGGAAUUCACAAAAGCCACAAGGGAAUCCAGAAAACAAAAAAUUUUUUUUGAAAGCAUUUCUCAUGUAAGAUGAAAACUGUUGUCAUCUUGAUUCUGACGUCUAUUAUUCAAAAUUGAACAAAAACCAAGCAUGAGUUCUAUCCAACACACAAAAACUUGAUGUCGUGAUUGUUUU
rnacentral:misc_RNA from 1 species